rnacentral:misc_RNA from 1 species
GAUGAAGAACGCAGUGAAAUGCGAUAAUUAAUGUGAAUUGCAGAAUUCAGUGAAUCAUCGAGUCUUUGAACGCACAUUGCGCCCCCUGGUAUUCCGGGGGGCAUGCCUGUCCGAGCGUCAUUGCUGCCCUCAAGCACGGCUUGUGUGUUGGGCUUCCGUCCCUGGCAACGGGGACGGGCCCAAAAGGCAGUGGCGGCACCAUGUCUGGUCCUCGAGCGUAUGGGGCUUUGUCACCCGCUCCCGUAGGUCCAGCUGGCAGCUAGCCUCGCAACCAAUCUUUUUAACCAGGUUGACCUCGCAUCAGGUAGGGAUACCCGCUGAACUUAAGCAUAUCAAUAAGCGGAGGA